ensembl:lncRNA
CUUAAAGUCUCCUUGUCGACAAAGACAGUUUUUGUUCCCAUUAAACAGGAAAUUGAACAGCCUAAGAAGCUGACAUUUCGAUGAAUCUUUUGCCACACUAUCAUAAAUUUGUAGUUCAAUUUUGAAAUAGUGGCACUGAGGUCUUGACUGGAAAUUUUCUUCCAAAAUACCCUGAAUGCUCAUGCUCAGUCACUCAGUUGUGUCUGACUCUUUGUGACAGCAUGGGCAAUAGCCCACCAGACUCCUCUAUCCAUGGGAUUUUCCAGGCAAAAAUACUGGAGUGGGUUGCCAUUUUCUUCUCCAGGAGAUCCUCCUGACCCAGGGAUCCAAUUAGCAUCUUCACCUCCUGCAUUGAUGCUAAAAUCGUGGAGGAGAAUAGUGUAUCAGAAAGAAGAGAUCUUUGAAGAGCCGUUUUCCUCUGAGGCCCAGAGAGACAGGGAGACACCCUUACAAUGGAGAGUUCCUUCAUAAAUGCAAAUAUUCCUUACAAAAGGAUAACUCCUAUGUCUGUCUGCUGUUUCUCAAGACAAUCAGCUCAAAAUAAGCCUUAUGCCAAAAAGCCAUAUUCCACUCCCCUUCAGUAUUUAUUCCCCUGCCUCUUCUCCUGCAAGGUCACCUCUGGCAGACUGUCCCUCAACUGAAGAUUACAUCUUCUCUCAAGGCAGUUCACUACUCCAUGAUUCUUUUCCUCCCCCGGAGUCACAGGCCUAGAGAUGGGAACAGAGCUGCUGGUAGCCACCCUGGGCCACUGUACUAUCUCUUCU